rnacentral:rRNA from 2 species
AUUGGGCGUAAGCGCGCGCAGGCGGUUUCUUAAGUCUGAUGUGAAAGCCCACGGCUCAACCGUGGAGGGUCAUUGGAAACUGGGGAACUUGAGUGCAGAAGAGAAAAGCGGAAUUCCACGUGUAGCGGUGAAAUGCGUAGAGAUGUGGAGGAACACCAGUGGCGAAGGCGGCUUUUUGGUCUGUAACUGACGCUGAGGCGCGAAAGCGUGGGGAGCAAACAGGAUUAGAUACCCUGGUAGUCCACGCCGUAAACGAUGAGUGCUAAGUGUUAGAGGGUUUCCGCCCUUUAGUGCUGCAGCUAACGCAUUAAUCACUCCGCCUGGGGAGUACGGUCGCAAGACUGAAACUCAAAGGAAUUGACGGGGGCCCGCACAAGCGGUGGAGCAUGUGGUUUAAUU